UUUUUUUUUUUUUUUUGGAAAAAAUACAAAGAAAGGAAAUUAAGGAGUGAAAAGCAAGAAAUGUAAAUGUAAGCAUCUUUCCCUAGUUUCAGCACAUUAAUAGCUCCUUCUAAACUUUCCUCAACCAGAAUGGGAGCAAGAUUAAGACAAUAAGUAAGAGAACAGCCUCCUUAAAAAAGUAGGAAUGACAAAAAAACAUGUUAAUUGACCAAAUGUAUAGUCGCAAAAUAAUGUAGCUAGCAUGUAAAGACAAAAAUAAGAAUGUUGAAUUAACCUGUUUAUGAAAUUUCUAACCAAAUUGGAAUUCAAUGAAAAUAUGAACUCGUUUUCAGAUUUAAGACAUAAGUAUGAAGAGAACAAAUAAGCUGACUCAGAACAAAUAAGUUGACUCAGACAUAAGCAUCGGCACAUACAAUAGAAAGUGGAGGGGCAAACUUACAGCACCUUUUAAUCCAAAAGUUGUUAAAUGAAAAUGAAUGAAGAUUAUCAAAGGUCAUUUAAAUUCUAGGUCUUUUAAAGUAAACACAAAUGGAUUUAUUUGAAAUUUAGAGCUAAUACCAAUGUACAUCCCUGGAACCAGAAUUUGUUGAAAUUCAGCACACAAUUACCACUAUGGCCAGUAAAAAUGGCUCAUCAAGUUGAGAAACAGCAUCAAUUAGAAGUGAAACCUCCUUCAUCUGAGGAGCAGCCUUAUGAAUAACAUUAAUGCAUUCAAAUAAUAUUGAUCUCUCUGUUUCUAUGAGCUGUUUUUCUCUGUCCUCCAAUUUAACAAAGCCUGCCACCCUCUUUUUCCCAUUAGUACCAUUUUCUACAUCUGAUGGUUUGAGCUUAUUGAGGCUUUCAGGCUCAUUUUCUGUUUUUUUCUCCACUGCACUUGCAGUGUUGAAAAAUUGGCUAAAAGAUUCAUCAUUGAACAACCUCAAAUCUUCUAACGACAUAACUAAACCACCAGCACCAGAUUUUAGCAAUUGCGAUCCCUCCAUAAUUGACGUACCCACUCUAUGUGAAGCAUAAAUAACAAAGAUUGGAAUUUUCACAUCCGCAAAUCCAGAGAACAUUUUUUCAUCAAAAUAUUUAUCUUGUUCAAGACCAUAUAUAAGGAAAUCAGCACCUUCAGAAUUAGAUGCAUUUAAGGCAGCCCUAGAAUUCUGCACAUUUCUAGCUACCAAUGGGAGAACUAUAGAUUCAGAUUUGGAAUCCAUCAUCAUGUUUCUUGCCACAAUGGCAGGAAGACGAGUGUGUUAUAUGAGCUAGUUCACAAGUCUAUUCAACAAGCAGCUCACUAGUUAAGAAAACGAGUCAAGCCAAGUUGAGUUUUGUCCAGCCAAGCCUCAAACCUCGAGCGGAAACUCAGCUCAUCUAAACCAUUGAAAGCUCAGGAAAGCAAAAUACUUCUCCAUAAAAGUCAAACAGCUAACGACAAUAAGCCACAGAUAAAACUAAUAUAGUUGGAACUUAAUAGAGGAUGAAUUAAGCAAACCUUGAUCGGAGAGCACAACCCCACUAGCAUUAACAGCAGCAGCGAUAUCAACGCGCUCUCCAAUCAACAAACGCGCACGAUCCCUCACAACCGACUUCAACAAACAAGCAGCCUCGUACAGUGUCUUCCCACUGCCAUCACCGCCAUUGAGGACCACGAUUCCAACCCACUUAGACACGGCCUUAUCAAUGAAAUCCAAGGCAUCAUCGCCACUCAAAACGUCAUCGGGGACAAGCUGGAGGACAAUGUUGGGGACUUUGAUUUCGGGCCGCUUGUAACCCCCAGGAAAAAGCGUCCUUGGCUGCUGCUGCUGCUGUGUUGGGAAGUCCUUAUCGAUUGAUUGUUGAAAGGGGUUGUUGGCGAUUGAGAGGAUAGGGAAAUGAUGGGUUCGGUGCGAUGGGGAUUUGAAGCGAGGGAGACGGGUGAAGAAGGGAAGGGAAUGGGAUAGGAAACGACAGGAAGUGGACACGUGGAGGGGGAGAAAGGGUGUCAUGGAGAAGGAGGUGAAGAGUAUAAAACUCUUCUAGACCUCUGGCUACAGAGGGAUUGCAAGGACUGAGAAGAAGAGUAAAGGGGCUUUUAUCAAUUAUCUGCAGCUAAUAUUUGCGCAGCUAGUGUUAUCCUCUUAUCCGUACGCUAGCCGCCUAAGCGUUAUCAUCUUAUCCUUUGUGAUUUGUGGGCUGGGAAAAAGAAAAG
rnacentral:misc_RNA from 1 species